ACUAACUUUGAUGGAAUUACAAAAAGAAGACUAGACUUUAAGAUGUCAAAGAACAAAACAAUACUCAGAAAAAUAUGGCUAGCCCAGCAACUGCAAUUACAAAUUUCUAAGCACCUUUUAUUAUUUGGAGAUGACGUCUUUGUAAACUACGAAGGCCCAUUCGUAAUCCACUUGCUAGCCCCGUCCGCUAGCCCACCUAACGGUUGGCCACGUCCUACAUUCG
rnacentral:lncRNA from 1 species